GACGAACGCUGGCGGCGUGCUUAACGCAUGCAAGUCGAACGGGUCUGCCCUGUUUUUUGCGGGGUGGGUCAGUGGCGAACGGGUGAGUAACACGUGAGUAACCUGCCCCUCACUUCUGGAUAACCGCUUGAAAGGGUGGCUAAUACGGGGUGUUCUGGCUGUGCCGCAUGGUGUGGCUGGGAAAGAUUCACUUUUGUGGUGUUUUGGUGGGGGAUGGGCUCGCGGCCUAUCAGCUUGUUGGUGGGGUGAUGGCCUGCCAAGGCUUUGACGGGUAGCCGGCCUGGGAGGGUGGGCGGUCACACUGGGACUGAGAUACGGCCCAGACUCCUGCGGGAGGCAGCAGUGGGGGGUAUUGCACAAUGGGCGGAAGCCUGAUGCAGCGACGUCGCGUGAGGGAUGGAGGCCUUCGGGUUGUGAACCUCUUUCGCCGGUGAAGAAGGUCCUGCUCUUUGUGGGGGGGUUGACGGUAGCCGGGUUAUGAAGCGCCGGCUAACUACGUG
rnacentral:rRNA from 1 species